rnacentral:rRNA from 1 species
GGGUUGUGAGGUUAAGCGACUAAGCGUACACGGUGGAUGCCCUGGCAGUCAGAGGCGAUGAAGGACGUGCUAAUCUGCGAUAAGCGUCGGUGAGGUGAUAUGAACCGUUAUAACCGGCGAUUUCCGAAUGGGGAAACCCAGUGUGUUUCGACACACUAUCAUUAACUGAAUCCAUAGGUUAAUGAGGCGAACCGGGGGAACUGAAACAUCUAAGUACCCCGAGGAAAAGAAAUCAACCGAGAUUCCCCCAGUAGCGGCGAGCGAACGGGGAGGAGCCCAGAGCCUGAAUCAGUGUGUGUGUUAGUGGAAGCGUCUGGAAAGGCGUGCGAUACAGGGUGACAGCCCCGUACACAAAAAUGCACAUAUUGUGAGCUCGAUGAGUAGGGCGGGACACGUGGUAUCCUGUCUGAAUAUGGGGGGACCAUCCUCCAAGGCUAAAUACUCCUGACUGACCGAUAGUGAACCAGUACCGUGAGGGAAAGGCGAAAAGAACCCCGGCGAGGGGAGUGAAAAAGAACCUGAAACCGUGUACGUACAAGCAGUGGGAGCCUCUUAAUGGGGUGACUGCGUACCUUUUGUAUAAUGGGUCAGCGACUUAUAUUCUGUAGCAAGGUUAACCGAAUAGGGGAGCCGAAGGGAAACCGAGUCUUAACUGGGCGUUAAGUUGCAGGGUAUAGACCCGAAACCCGGUGAUCUAGCCAUGGGCAGGUUGAAGGUUGGGUAACACUAACUGGAGGACCGAACCGACUAAUGUUGAAAAAUUAGCGGAUGACUUGUGGCUGGGGGUGAAAGGCCAAUCAAACCGGGAGAUAGCUGGUUCUCCCCGAAAGCUAUUUAGGUAGCGCCUCGUGAAUUCAUCUCCGGGGGUAGAGCACUGUUUCGGCAAGGGGGUCAUCCCGACUUACCAACCCGAUGCAAACUGCGAAUACCGGAGAAUGUUAUCACGGGAGACACACGGCGGGUGCUAACGUCCGUCGUGAAGAGGGAAACAACCCAGA